rnacentral:rRNA from 1 species
GGUAACCGUGGGCCAGGCGGCGGGUGAAGUGAGAGGGUGCGAGGGUUGUUCGGGAUUGUUGGGCGUAAAGGGGGUGGAGGCGGCUGGUUAUGGCGGGUGUGAAAGCCCUCAGCUCAACGGAGGAAGUGCGCCCGAAACUGGCGAGCUUGAGUGCCGGAGAGGAGAGCGGAACACCCGGUGUAGAGGUGAAAUUCGUAGAUAUCGGGUAGAACACCAGUGGCGAAGGCGGCUAUCUGGACGGACACUGACGCUGAGACGCGAAAGCGUGGGGAGCAAACAGGAUUAGAUACCCCUGUAGUC